GGGCAAGUAACUCAGUUGGUUUAGAGUACCUCGCUGAUACCGAGGAAGUCGGGGGUUCAAAUCCCUCCUUGCCCACCA
rnacentral:tRNA from 1 species